GACGAACGCUGGCGGCGUGCUUAACACAUGCAAGUCGAACGGAAAGGCCCUGCUUUUGUGGGGGGCUCGAGUGGCGAACGGGUGAGUAACACGUGAGUAACCUGCCCUUGACUUUGGGAUAACUUCAGGAAACUGGGGCUAAUACCGGAUAGGAGCUCCUGCUGCAUGGUGGGGGUUGGAAAGUUUCGGCGGUUGGGGAUGGACUCGCGGCUUAUCAGCUGGUUGGUGGGGUAGUGGCUUACCAAGGCUUUGACGGGUAGCCGGCCUGAGAGGGUGACCGGCCACAUUGGGACUCGGAUACGGCCCAGACUCCUACGGCAGGCAGCAGUGGGGAAUAUUGCACAAUGGGCGGAAGCCUGACGCAGCAACGCCGCGUGCGCGAUGACGGCCUUCGGGUUGUAAACCGCUUUCGCCUGUGACGAAGCGUGAGUGACGGUAAUGGGUAAAGAAGCACCGGCUAACUACGUG
rnacentral:rRNA from 1 species